rnacentral:lncRNA from 1 species
GAACUUAUAUUCAAAUAUUUUUAUACUUAAAUCUUUUAACCUCUAUGUACUAAAUUAUUUUCACUCAACAACACAAAAUAAAAUUAAGUUUUAAGCCUUAAAAAUCAAGUUCAGUGCACUUCAUAUUGGUGAAAGAGUUCAACUUAAUUAUUCUGAGUAAAUAAUACUUAAAUAGCUAACUUUUUUUAAGUGAGCACUACUUAUUUUCAAUUAUUGACCACAUAUACUGAUUUUCUGGUUCUGUUUACAAACUGACUUUAAACUGAAAGUUACUCUACAAGACACAUUCAAAUCUAUGUAAGAUUUAUAUUAAAAAGAGUGAGAUGAGAAAAACUUAAGAGGUAUCACAUCAUUUAUAUUUCUUGUAAAACAACUGACAAAAUAAAAGAUUACAUUAAAGCUUUAAAGAACAGCGUUACAAAGUUAACAAGUCAACAACAAAUCGUUUAUUUCAACAAAUCAUUUUUUAAGGUGAGUAAGGACGUUUUCAGAGGUUUGUUGUCAUCCAGACACAUAAAAAUGUUCUGUAUGAGAAUGUGCGUGAGUUUUUUGGGAUAUUCUAAAUUGAAAGCAUAUGUCAGGCCAAACAACAACAUAAAUGCCUCAGAAAACCUCUGCACCCAAUUCAAAGAUGAAGGGGUCGGGACCCGAUGUAAGGAGAGCAACAGGAGCAUCAUCAAAAUCUGGCUCCUCUUCCUCCUGCAAAACACCAUCAAUACAAUUACCAGGAGAGUUUCAAUGGAAACACUUACAAAAAAACUGACAGAAAUGAACAAAAAUGCAAAUAUAUUCUAGAAUUAUUUUCAUUAUGUAAAAUACCUGAAGACACAAUCAGAUUUUGUUAUAUUUAUGGAUAUUAACAGGGCUUACAUUGCAGGUAUUGAACACCAAAACCAGUCCGUGAUGCCUUCUGCCUGUACACAAAAAUAUCUCCUUUGGUUGACUCCUCUUCUUAUAUGUCUACAUCAAAUCAGUUUGUUGUUUAUAUGCAACACGAAUGCUGUCAGGGCAAAAAGAAUAUUGUAGGUCUUAACUGAAGUUCUCGACCAUUAUUGUUAGCUUGCUGCUAACACUUUUAUUCAUCAGAUCCAUUAAAACACAUAGAAGCUAGCU